rnacentral:rRNA from 1 species
GACGAACGCUGGCGGCGUGCCUAAUACAUGCAAGUCGAACGCUGAAGGAGGAGCUUGCUUCUCUGGAUGAGUUGCGAACGGGUGAGUAACGCGUAGGUAACCUGCCUGGUAGCGGGGGAUAACUAUUGGAAACGAUAGCUAAUACCGCAUAAGAGUAGAUGUCGCAUGACAUUUGCUUAAAAGGUGCAAUUGCAUCACUACCAGAUGGACCUGCGUUGUAUUAGCUAGUUGGUGAGGUAACGGCUCACCAAGGCAACGAUACAUAGCCGACCUGAGAGGGUGAUCGGCCACACUGGGACGGAGACACGGCCCAGACUACUACGGGAGGCAGCAGUAGGGAAUCUUCGGCAAUGGACGGAAGUCUGACCGAGCAACGCCGCGUGAGUGAAGAAGGUUGUCGGAUCGUAAAGCUCUGUUGUAAGAGAAGAACGAGUGUGAGAGUGGAAAGUUCACACUGUGACGGUAUCUGACCAGAAAGGGACGGCUAACUACGUG